GAUCCUACGGGGGGCAGCAGUGAGGAAUAUUGGUCAAUGGCCGAGAGGCUGAACCAGCCAAGUCGCGUGAGGGAAGACGGCCCUACGGGUUGUAAACCUCUUUUGUCGGGGAGCAAAGCGAACCACGUGUGGUUCAUUGAGAGUACCCGAAGAAAAAGCAUCGGCUAACUCCGUGCCAGCAGCCGCGGUAAUACGGAGGAUGCGAGCGUUAUCCGGAUUUAUUGGGUUUAAAGGGUGCGUAGGCGGACAGUCAAGUCAGCGGUAAAAAUGCGGUGCUCAACGCCGUACAGCCGUUGAAACUGGCG
rnacentral:rRNA from 1 species